AGACGGAGGGGGCUAGCGUUGUUCGGAAUUACUGGGCGUAAAGCGCGCGUAGGCGGUCCGUUUAGUUAGGCGUGAAAGCCCUGGGCUCAACCCGGGAACUGCGUUUAAAACUGGCGGACUAGAGUCCGGAAGAGGGUGGCGGAAUUCCCAGUGUAGAGGUGAAAUUCGUAGAUAUUGGGAAGAACACCAGUGGCGAAGGCGGCCACCUGGUCCGGUACUGACGCUGAGGUGCGAAAGCGUGGGGAGCAAACAGGAUUAGAAACCCCAGUAGUCC
rnacentral:rRNA from 1 species